rnacentral:rRNA from 1 species
AACCACCGAAAGGGGCCGUCGUACCGGACCCUUAAGGGGGGUACUGAAGUUCGGUAGUGAUUGGGUG